rnacentral:rRNA from 1 species
GACGUAGGGCGCAAGCGUUGUCCGGAUUUAUUGGGCGUAAAGAGCUCGUAGGCGGUCUGUUGCGUCGGCUGUGAAAACCCGGGGCUCAACCCCGGGCCUGCAGCCGAUACGGGCAGACUAGAGUUCGGCAGGGGAGACUGGAAUUCCUGGUGUAGCGGUGAAAUGCGCAGAUAUCAGGAGGAACACCGGUGGCGAAGGCGGGUCUCUGGGCCGAUACUGACGCUGAGGAGCGAAAGCGUGGGGGAGCAAACAGG